UCCCUUAUAGCUCAGUGGGUAGAGCGUCUGUCUGAUACACAGAUUGUCGGGUGUUCGAAUCAUCCUAAGGAAA
rnacentral:tRNA from 1 species